UUUUCACGGUGUUUUGUAUUACUGUUUGUUUGGAUUGUUGUUCGUUACCAACGUAUCAUCGCACUUGCAACCCCUGGAAUCGAUAGAUAGACGAAAAAAUAGAGUCUAACUUGUGUCAGAUUUUUAGCUUAAUCGGAAAUUGGGCACCGAAAUCAAUACAAGCAUGAAUUCAAAUGGCCGGAGCUCCAAGUCAACUAGCCAUUGCAGUAAAGUGAAUCGGGGACUUGUCUGAAAAGCUACUGAGACAGCACAAAACUUAAGGUUGGCUGAAGGAUGUCUUAUACGCCAUUUUCUAAAUCCUAAAAGAUAUUUUCAAGCCAGAAAAAUGUCCUUGGAGCCUUACCGAAAAAAAUACAAAUGUUUGUGAAAAUCUGCAAGCCUUUAUAAAAAUCAUUUUCACCAGGGCAGUGCAGCAGCCGUGGAUCAGUUCGAGCGAGUUGAUCAAUCUGUAACUACUAAAUCACCUGUUUCCUAAAAGCAUAGUCGACCCUGAAUCCCCCAUGCAAGAGCAGUGUCGAGUGGUUCUGAGUGGCGGAUUUCCUCUUUGCGUGGGAUGAUCUAGACUCCGGAAGAGUCAGGGACUCGAUAUAUUAUUACCGCAAGAGUUAAGCGAGCUGCAACGCUAUUGCAGGACCUAUACCAACGCGCAUGCUAUUAAUACUCGUAUAACUAUCCGGAUGAUUAUAUAAUGUGGAUCAAUUUGCGCUACAGCAAUUCGCUUGUUCUUUUGUCAACAUCGGUAUUGGGUAUAACGUGGUUCGCAUUCGCUGCGAUGGCAAAUAUGAAGAAUUUCAAGUCAUUGAGAGUGAAGUUCGUAAAGUUAACGUAACGAUUCAUUUUUGGGAAAAAUCAUUAUUUCGCAAACGGACGAUUAUUUCAAUUGAUUGACUUGUCUAUUUUUAAAACGAAAAAUUUAUUCAGAUUUUGAAAAUUAAACUUCUUUAAAGUUGUUCUAAAUUUUUAUAACGGUGAUUAUUAGUUUCAAUAUUUCGUCAACUUCAAUCUAAUGAGAAAUUUGCAAUUGUGGGAUCUUUGGGAUCCUCGAAUGUUUUCAGGAUUUUUUUUUUUAAUCGAACAGUU